rnacentral:sRNA from 1 species
UAUUAAAGGGUUAUGGCAUAUUGGGGAAUAUUGUCCCAGGUAGAAUUUUAUAUUGCACGAGCUUGCGAGUCCAAUAUAUGUUCUACGAGGGACAAUAUUCCCCAAUAUUCAUGCCAUAACCCUUUUAUUG